rnacentral:rRNA from 1 species
GAUUGGCUAUACCACUCGGAAGGUGUCCAAUCUCAGAAGCUUAGCAGGUCAGGCCUGAUUAGUACUUGGAUCAGAUAUUGCCUGGGAAUCAAGGGUGUUGUAGGCC